rnacentral:lncRNA from 1 species
GGUGGGCAGACAUCAGGAAUAUUGGGACGUUAAAGUAUGAAUAUCAUAGUAAACCCAUCCUAACAAGUAGAUAAAUGAAUCUAAUAAGGUUUUACUACUACAAAGGUUAUUAUGCCUCCCCAUAGAAUGACAAGAACUACUCAAGGGAUCGCAAGAUAGACAUCACAACCACGGGAUGGUAGCACUCCCCAUCUGACCAGUGGCACCCCUCAAGAGGAGGGAGUCGUAAAUCCUAAUAGGAUACCUCGAGAGCACAUCAGGAACCGGAUAUGGCUCAGUUAAUGUAGACCCUAAUCGGGAUGGUACAAACGCAACAACAAAUACAGCAGCAAAUGCUUGAACAACAGCAGAUACAACGAGAUGCACAACAAUAUCAGCAUCCACCACC